rnacentral:SRP_RNA from 1 species
CCGUGCAGCCGGGGCGUUAGCGGUGCCUUGUACCUGCAAUCCGCUAUAGCAGGGGUGAUAUCUUACGGAGGGCUUUGGCUUUUGCGGCUGCCCUUUAUAAGUGGCGUUGAAGUUUGGGUCUUACGCAAUGGAAAUCUGCGAACCGUGUCAGGUUGGGAACAAAGCAGCACUAAGCAGAACCUUUCAUGUGCCGUGAGGGUGCCUGGCGGAGUUAACUGUAAAGGUAACGCGCAGGGGUGUCGUUCGAAGUAAGAUGCACGG